GAUGAUGUGUCGUUUAAUUUUGUUUAAUACGGAAAUACUUAUUUUUUCUCUAUUUUAGUGCAGUUGGAAUUUGAAACAACAAUAAUAUUGGUUUUGUGUUCGUUAUAAUGUGUAUGUUUACAGUGUGUUACACUUCAAUGUGAAUAGCAAGUUUUCUACAAUUCUAUUCUUCAAUGCUGCGUCGCUCGCUUGGAAUGCUUACACGACACGUGUUGGUAUCAUCUAAUUCUUCGUUACAUUGUCAACGCUUAUUAUAAUUACCUUUACUUAUCCUAGAACUUUUCCUGUUGGUCAUUGGUAAUAUCUGCUUCAACACUCCAUAAGUAUUUACUUAAAUUUGGUAGUAAGCUUCUUAUAACUGUGUUGACUUUUGCGUAUACCCUUUGAUGUUAUGAUUGCUUACCUCAGUAUUUAUUACCUUCGGUAUUCUUGUACCUGUGAGUAGAAUGGUCUCAAAAUUUUCCAUCGGCCAACCCUGACAGUCGUAUACUAUGUUCUACGAAAUGGAUCCAUAACCUGUCUUUGUACAUACACUUCCUUUUACGAUGAUUAAUUGUUCACAAGGUACCUUUCACUUUCACUGCUUUUAAUUAUUUUA